rnacentral:piRNA from 1 species
UCAGAAGUUAUUUACUUAUGUGUUCUAUCC